AACGUAGGACGCAAGCGUUAUCCGGAGUUACUGGGCGUAAAGCGCGGGCAGGCGGUUGUCUAAGUCUGAUGUGAAAGCGCUUGGCUCAACCAAGCGAUGCCAUUGGAAACUGGGCAACUGGAGUCUGGCAGAGGUAGGCGGAAUUCCACGUGUAGCGGUGAAAUGCGUAGAGAUGUGGAGGAACACCAGUGGCGAAGGCGACUCUUUGGCCUGUAACUGACGCUGAGGCGCGAAAGCGUGGGGAGCAAACAGG
rnacentral:rRNA from 1 species